GUGAUUUAAAAUUCACCACAUAUACUAAAAUUGGAACAAUACAGAGAAGAUUAGCCUGGCCCCUACUCAAGGAUGACACGCAAAUUCAUGACACGUUCCGUAUGUAU
rnacentral:snRNA from 1 species